UACGGGGGGGGCAAGCGUUGUUCGGAAUUACUGGGCGUAAAGGGCGCGUAGGCGGCUUUUCACGUCGGGCGUGAAAUCUCCGGGCUUAACCCGGAAGGGUCGUUCGAUACUGUUGAGCUAGAGUGUGGAAGAGGCAACUAGAAUUCCGUGUGUAGCGGUGAAAUGCGUAGAUAUACGGAGGAAUACCUGAGGCGAAGGCGGGUUGCUGGGCCAACACUGACGCUGAGGCGCGAAAGCCAGGGGAGCAAACGGG
rnacentral:rRNA from 1 species